rnacentral:lncRNA from 1 species
GAGGGUAUUGUGGGAGCUCGUCCGUUGGAGGAGUCCGGAGGGUACUGUGGAAGCUCGUCCGUUGGAGGAGUCCGGAGGAUACUGUGGAAGCUCGUCCGUUGGAGGAGUCCAGAGGGUACUGUGGAAGCUCGUCCGUUGGAGGAGUCCGGAGGGUACCGUGGAAGCUCGGACGGUCGGGGAAGUUCAGAAAGACGUCGCACA